rnacentral:misc_RNA from 1 species
UGGUUCUGUUGCCUCCUACUACUGGGCUCGUGGUGAGACAUCGCCUGAGAUUCCCUUUCUUCCAGUUUUUUCCUCUAUGAAGCGGCUUAUGCGGUACAGCCUUGGGUCUGUUGCUCUUGGCUCCCUGAUCGUGUCAUUUGUGGAAUCAGUUCGCUUUAUGCUCGAGUCAAUCCGUCGCAAACUGAAAGUUGCUGGAACUAUACCUGAUGGCUGUAUGGGAAAGACAGUACAUCAUACUUCUCAGUUUUGUCUGAGAUGUGUUGAGGGGACUAUAAAAUCUGUGAACCGCAAUGCUUACAUAAUGAUAGCUAUAACAGGUAAAAGCUUCUGUAGGGCAUCUGCAAUUGCAGCUGACUUGAUCAUGAACAACAUUCUUAGGAUUGGAAAGGUGAAUGUGAUUGGAGAUGUCAUCCUAUUUCUGGGAAAAUUAUGUGUCAGCCUCUCAAGUGCUGUUUUUGCUUUCCUCAUGCUGGAUACUCACAAAUAUAGAUCUGCUCAUAACAAGAUAUCCUCCCCACUGUUUCCUGUGCUGGUUUGCUGGGCUCUAGGUUAUAUCGUUGCGACCCUUUUCUUUGCUGUGGUGGAGAUGUCAAUUGAUACAAUCAUUCUUUCAUUCUGCCAGGAUUCUGAGGAGCACCAAGGGACUGCCCAGUAUGCUCCUCCUCUUCUCAUUGAGACCCUCAAUGAUCAAAAUGAGAUGCAGAGACUUACCCAAUGAUCCUACCGAAAAAUGCCAAUGUAUAAGUUGCUCGAGUCGCAUUUGCUUAGUGGAAUUUGAAAAUUCAAUUAUAUUACUUAGAGCACUCCCCCCUGAUCAUUUGAUCUUUGACUUUUUUAAAUUCGUUUUUCCAAUUUUCCUGGUUGCCUUAGCUAGUUGGUCUGAAACUGUAUAUUUGGGCUGUGCCUGUA